GUAAUGGUUAUUUUGGAGCAAAUUGUUCAAACGUUUGCUCUGGGAACUGUUCUGAUAUAUGCAAUCAUAUUGAUGGGACUUGUUACGUCAAAGCUAGAAUGAUGGAUUCUCCAGGAUGCAAACAAAUUUCAUCAUUGACUACGGCUAGAAAAUGUGAUGACCACUGUUUUUAUGCUAUUGGAAUAUCUAUAUUAGUCAUACUAAACAUUUUAACCUGUACGUUAUGGAUUCGUGAAAGAAGAAAGCAAGUGAAAGUGAAAAGACAGUCCGCUCAUUACAUAACAACUGAAGCAGAAAUGAAAGAAAAGACUUAUGAAUCACAUGAAUAUCAAGAAGUGAAUUCUGUAUCACGUGAUUUUUCGUACCAAAAUCUCUCAUUUGAUACAUGAAACUUUUGAAAAUACAGGGUUUGAUUAGUAUAUUUCAAAUGUAUAAUGGUGUGCCAGGCAGCAGACUACAAUUUUUCGAUCGGCGAA